CUCUGAUGAUGACUCUGAUGAGGACUCUGAUGAUGACUCUGAUGAUGACUCUGAUGAGGACUUUGAUGAUAAAUCUGGCUCUACAGGCUCUAGAGAAACAAAAUCAGAUGAUGGGCAAUAGUCACUUCUUGUUUAAUCAAUGAUUCGACAAUAGAGAACGGACCAAUUUUAUGAUUUAUACAUUACAAUACUUCCGUUCAAAGCUAAUCAAUUCUGCAAAUACAUAAAUUGUCA